UUGGUUGGGAAAUUUGCGGAAUUCUUUAACAACUAAAGAAGGAUAAAAGAAAACUAAGAACACCAGGAGACUAAGCUCUCUUGCAACCAUUCAGGAACUGACUUACUGCAAAGUCCUGUGGUACCAAGACCGGAAAGCAGAAGCCUGCAGUGAAGGAGACUUCUGUCUGACCAGCUUCUCCUCAGUUCUGGAAAGGCUAAUAACCGUGGUCCUGAAGGUGCUGUGUGACAUUAGUUCUCUCCACUGCUGCAGCCAUGGAAAAGUGUGGUAACCAGUCAGCACGUACGUACAUGGCAUUCCAUCCCCCGCGACCCACUCAGACUUCCUUCCAGCAAGCUUCCCUUCCUCAGUUAUAAGUGCUAUAAAUUGAACCCAGGACUUGGUGAGCUGCAGCCCCCGAGCUUCAUAAAUUCAGCAUAUGCAGCAACUAUCCCGAACGUACAUGUGCGGCUUACAUCUUCUGUUAAAACACACAUCUGUGACAUGUCAUUGUUUGGACUGAGUCACUGGGCACAGGACUCCACUGUCCUAAGGAAAUGCACAGUUUCAUUCAGAUAAGCUGCAGUUUUUUUCAUAGGCAGCACAGACCGUAAGUUAUUGUCCUCCUCAAGUCCCUGCCUAUCUUACUUCAAAAGGACAUGAAACUCUGA